rnacentral:Y_RNA from 1 species
GGCUGUCUGAAGCUAAUGUGUUAUCUCGAUUAUUCACAGUCAGUUACAGAUUAAACUCCUUGUUCUACUCUUUCCUCCUCCUCACUACUACACUUGACUAGUCUUAA